AGAGGCCCAUCCGCGGCUGGGUGUGGAACGCUUGCCUUGUUGCCGUGGCGACGAAGCAAGCAUUCCACCAGGCCACUCACGCUGCCCGC
rfam:Myotis lucifugus cont2.45772, whole genome shotgun sequence.